UUAAGUUAUUAAGGGCGCACGGUGGAUGCCUUGGCACUAGAAGCCGAUGAAGGACGUUACUAACGACGAUAUGCUUUAGGGAGCUGUAAGUAAGCUUUGAUCCAGAGAUUUCCGAAUGGGGAAACCCAGCAUGAGUUAUGUCAUGUUAUCGAUAUGUGAAUACAUAGCAUAUCAGAAGGCACACCCGGAGAACUGAAACAUCUUAGUACCCGGAGGAAGAGAAAGAAAAUUCGAUUCCCUUAGUAGCGGCGAGCGAAACGGGAAGAGCCCAAACCAACAAGCUUGCUUGUUGGGGUUGUAGGACACUCUAUACGGAGUUACAAAGGACGACAUUAGACGAAUCAUCUGGAAAGAUGAAUCAAAGAAGGUAAUAAUCCUGUAGUCGAAAAUGUUGUCUCUCUUGAGUGGAUCCUGAGUACGACGGAGCACGUGAAAUUCCGUCGGAAUCUGGGAGGACCAUCUCCUAAGGCUAAAUACUCUCUAGUGACCGAUAGUGAACCAGUACCGUGAGGGAAAGGUGAAAAGCACCCCGGAAGGGGAGUGAAAUAGAACCUGAAACCGUGUGCUUACAAGUAGUCAGAGCCCGUUAAUGGGUGAUGGCGUGCCUUUUGUAGAAUGAACCGGCGAGUUACGAUUUGAUGCAAGGUUAAGCAGUAAAUGUGGAGCCGUAGCGAAAGCGAGUCUGAAUAGGGCGUUUAGUAUUUGGUCGUAGACCCGAAACCAGGUGAUCUACCCUUGGUCAGGUUGAAGUUCAGGUAACACUGAAUGGAGGACCGAACCGACUUACGUUGAAAAGUGAGCGGAUGAACUGAGGGUAGCGGAGAAAUUCCAAUCGAACCUGGAGAUAGCUGGUUCUCUCCGAAAUAGCUUUAGGGCUAGCCUCAAGUGAUGAUUAUUGGAGGUAGAGCACUGUUUGGACGAGGGGCCCCUCUCGGGUUACCGAAUUCAGACAAACUCCGAAUGCCAAUUAAUUUAACUUGGGAGUCAGAACAUGGGUGAUAAGGUCCGUGUUCGAAAGGGAAACAGCCCAGACCACCAGCUAAGGUCCCAAAAUAUAUGUUAAGUGGAAAAGGAUGUGGCGUUGCCCAGACAACUAGGAUGUUGGCUUAGAAGCAGCCAUCAUUUAAAGAGUGCGUAAUAGCUCACUAGUCGAGUGACACUGCGCCGAAAAUGUACCGGGGCUAAACAUAUUACCGAAGCUGUGGAUUGUCCUUUGGACAAUGGUAGGAGAGCGUUCUAAGGGCGUUGAAGCAUGAUCGUAAGGACAUGUGGAGCGCUUAGAAGUGAGAAUGCCGGUGUGAGUAGCGAAAGACGGGUGAGAAUCCCGUCCACCGAUUGACUAAGGUUUCCAGAGGAAGGCUCGUCCGCUCUGGGUUAGUCGGGUCCUAAGCUGAGGCCGACAGGCGUAGGCGAUGGAUAACAGGUUGAUAUUCCUGUACCACCUAUAAUCGUUUUAAUCGAUGGGGGGACGCAGUAGGAUAGGCGAAGCGUGCGAUUGGAUUGCACGUCUAAGCAGUAAGGCUGAGUAUUAGGCAAAUCCGGUACUCGUUAAGGCUGAGCUGUGAUGGGGAGAAGACAUUGUGUCUUCGAGUCGUUGAUUUCACACUGCCGAGAAAAGCCUCUAGAUAGAAAAUAGGUGCCCGUACCGCAAACCGACACAGGUAGUCAAGAUGAGAAUUCUAAGGUGAGCGAGCGAACUCUCGUUAAGGAACUCGGCAAAAUGACCCCGUAACUUCGGGAGAAGGGGUGCUCUUUAGGGUUAACGCCCAGAAGAGCCGCAGUGAAUAGGCCCAAGCGACUGUUUAUCAAAAACACAGGUCUCUGCUAAACCGUAAGGUGAUGUAUAGGGGCUGACGCCUGCCCGGUGCUGGAAGGUUAAGAGGAGUGGUUAGCUUCUGCGAAGCUACGAAUCGAAGCCCCAGUAAACGGCGGCCGUAACUAUAACGGUCCUAAGGUAGCGAAAUUCCUUGUCGGGUAAGUUCCGACCCGCACGAAAGGCGUAACGAUUUGGGCACUGUCUCAACGAGAGACUCGGUGAAAUCAUAGUACCUGUGAAGAUGCAGGUUACCCGCGACAGGACGGAAAGACCCCGUGGAGCUUUACUGUAGCCUGAUAUUGAAAUUCGGCACAGCUUGUACAGGAUAGGUAGGAGCCUUUGAAACGUGAGCGCUAGCUUACGUGGAGGCGCUGGUGGGAUACUACCCUAGCUGUGUUGGCUUUCUAACCCGCACCACUUAUCGUGGUGGGAGACAGUGUCAGGCGGGCAGUUUGACUGGGGCGGUCGCCUCCUAAAAGGUAACGGAGGCGCUCAAAGGUUCCCUCAGAAUGGUUGGAAAUCAUUCAUAGAGUGUAAAGGCAUAAGGGAGCUUGACUGCGAGACCUACAAGUCGAGCAGGGUCGAAAGACGGACUUAGUGAUCCGGUGGUUCCGCAUGGAAGGGCCAUCGCUCAACGGAUAAAAGCUACCCCGGGGAUAACAGGCUUAUCUCCCCCAAGAGUUCACAUCGACGGGGAGGUUUGGCACCUCGAUGUCGGCUCAUCGCAUCCUGGGGCUGUAGUCGGUCCCAAGGGUUGGGCUGUUCGCCCAUUAAAGCGGUACGCGAGCUGGGUUCAGAACGUCGUGAGACAGUUCGGUCCCUAUCCGUCGUGGGCGUAGGAAAUUUGAGAGGAGCUGUCCUUAGUACGAGAGGACCGGGAUGGACAUACCUCUGGUGUACCAGUUGUCGUGCCAACGGCAUAGCUGGGUAGCUAUGUGUGGACGGGAUAAGUGCUGAAAGCAUCUAAGCAUGAAGCCCCCCUCAAGAUGAGAUUUCCCAACUUCGGUUAUAAGAUCCCUCAAAGAUGAUGAGGUUAAUAGGUUCGAGGUGGAAGCAUGGUGACAUGUGGAGCUGACGAAUACUAAUCGAUCGAAGACUUAAUCAA
rnacentral:rRNA from 1 species